rnacentral:rRNA from 1 species
UCAUGUUGUUUAAUUCGAUGAUACGCGAAGAACCUUACCAGGUCUUGACAUCCCCCGCGAUGCUUUAGAGAUAAAGCGGAGGUAUUCGGGGAGACAGGUGGUGCAUGGUUGUCGUCAGCUCGUGUCGUGAGAUGUGGGUUAAGUCCCGCAACGAGCGCAACCCUAUUGCUAGUUACCAUCAUUAAGUUGGGGACUCUAGCGAGACUGCCAGUGAUAAACUGGAGGAAGGUGGGGAUGACGUCAAAUCAUCAUGCCCCUUAUGACCUGGGCUACAAACGUGAUACAAUGGCUGGAACAAAGGGAUGCGAAGCAGUGAUGUGGAGCGAAACCCAUAAAAACAGUCUCAGUUCGGAUUGAAGUCUGCAACUCGACUUCAUGAAGUCGGAAUCGCUAGUAAUCGCGGAUCAGAACGCCGCGGUGAAUACGUUCUCGGGGUUU